rnacentral:lncRNA from 1 species
CUCUUAUCAUCCAUCCUUUUUAUCUCUGUAGAGUCAGUAGUAACGUCACCAUGUCUGUCUCUUUUUGCUGCUAUUGUUGAGAUGGGGCCUUGCUAUGCAGCCCUUUUUAAAAUUUUUUAUUUUGAAGGGCCGGGGAUUUAGCUCAGCAGUUUUGCCACCUGCUGUGCAAGCGCAAGGACCCGAGUUCGAUCUCCAGUACCAAAAAAAAAAAAAAAGAAAAAUGCACAGCAUGACCUUUGGCCAGGGAUUUAGUUCAGUGGUUCCGCCUCCUGCCUCACAAGCGCAAGGACCUGAGUUUGAUCCCCGGUACCAAAAAAAUUUUAUUUUGAGACAGCAUUUCACUAGGUUGCUAAAUUGCCCAGGCUAGGGUUGAACUUGUAAACUUUCUGUCUCAGCCUCCCUGAGAGGCUGAGGCAAGAGGGUCACUGUGAGUUCAAGGCCAGCCUGAGCUACAUAGUGAGACCCUAUCUCAAAAAACAAAACAAAAUAAAUUACAACAAUCUAGUUUGAAUGAAUAUUGACUUAGUUUCAAUACUGUACUUGUCAUUUUUUCAGUGGGGCAAAAUAUCCGACUUAGGCAACUUAAAAAAGUAGGAGAGAUUUCUUUUGACUCAUGGUUUCAGAGGGCGCAGUCUAUGGUUGGCUGGCUCCAACCUGCCACAGCAUGGUGGAAAGGUAUGGCGGAGGGAAGCUGCUUAACCCAUGGCAUCCAGGAAGCAAAGAAAGAGGAAGAAGUAGCUAGUGACAAGAACAUACCCUUGCAGGUCACACCCUAGUGACCACCUCUUCCAGCCUGGCCCCACUUCUUAACAGCACAGUCAGCAAUAAGCUGAUCACUGGAUUGAUGCACUGUUGAGCAUAAUGCCCCAUGAUCCAAUCACUUUCCAAAAGCUCCAGCCCUGAACAUAUGAGACUUCUGGGGGACAUUUUAAAUCUAUCCCAUAACAAGUACUGCAGAGUGCUUGGUGUAUGGAGAAAACUCCCCACACAUCUGGAAUGAUCUAUGUUUUGAGAUCACAUGAGACACCAAGCUUGUGUUUUUUCCCACAAUAUAUUCAGAUACAGUAACACACAUAUAAAUAUUCCAUUUACUGUUUUUUGUUGUUUUGUUUGAGACAGGGUCUCACUAUAUAGUUUAGGGUGGCCUCAAACUUGUGACCAUCCUGCCUCAUCCCCUCAAGUGCUGGGAUUACAGACAUGGGUCACCAUGCACAGCCAGUUAUUGGCUUUUUAUCAUGGCCAUUUUCUUCUCCCAAAGUUUGUAUUCACCACAAUUUUGACACUGCAACCAUGCUUUGAGUGUUUAAG